GGGGAUAUAGCUCAGUUGGUAGAGUGCUUGCCUGGCAUGCAAAAGGCCCUGGGUUCAAUCCCCAGAACCACA
rnacentral:tRNA from 1 species